UGCUUUCUUGGUCAUGAUGUUUG
rnacentral:misc_RNA from 1 species